rnacentral:rRNA from 1 species
UACGAAGGGUGCAAACGUUGCUCGGAAUUACUGGGCGUAAAGCGUGCGCAGGCGGUCUUGCAAGACAGAUGUGAAAUCCCCGGGCUUAACCUGGGAACUGCAUUUGUGACUGCAAGGCUGGAGUACGGCAGAGGGGGAUGGAAUUCCGCGUGUAGCAGUGAAAUGCGUAGAUAUGCGGAGGAACACCGAUGGCGAAGGCAAUCCCCUGGGCCUGUACUGACGCUCAUGCACGAAAGCGUGGGGAGCAAACAGG